rnacentral:rRNA from 1 species
UACGGAGGGUGCAAGCGUUAUCCGGAUUCACUGGGUUUAAAGGGUGCGUAGGUGGGCUUGUAAGUCAGUGGUGAAAUCUCCGUGCUUAACAUGGAAACUGCCAUUGAUACUAUGGGUCUUGAAUUAUCUGGAGGUUAGCGGAAUAUGUCAUGUAGCGGUGAAAUGCUUAGAUAUGACAUAGAACACCAAUUGCGAAGGCGCUGGCUACAGGUACAUUGACACUGAGGCACGAAAGCGUGGGGAUCAAACAGG